CAAGGACAAAUCAAGUUUUCAUGACAAGAAUUUUAUUUCCUUUUUUUUUUCAUUACAUUUUGCAUUAAAUUAAAGAGGUUUUUUUUUUCUUUACAACAUACAUUAAGCUGUGAAUCAGAUGUUAAGGAAGUGGAGAGAGAGUAGGGCAAAAAACUUUGUGACGUCACAAUAUCUUACAAGCUUACAAAGUUCAAAAGUUUGAAAAGUCGAUAAGAGUUGAUUUGCAUCUAACAGCAGUGAAUUAUAACAAGGGUGAAAGACAAAAAAGGCACACACUAAAGAACCUCACUGUCCACAGCGGCCGUCAGUCAGUCCUAAUCCAGCCUGUCGAAAACUCCUGCGGUCCUGCUGACGUCGAAAUGCUCGACGCUCAAAGUAAACGCCCAGAUAUGUUCACGUGUCCACACGAGACGGUGGACGUUUAACCUUCUCACCCAGACACGGGGUGUUGUUCUCCAUCUGUGUGGACGUGAUGAUUCAUGAAUCAAAACGUUUACGAACAAGUUGUCAGUUUCAUUCCAGGAAAACAUAUUUGAAACAUUGGCAAAAAGGGAUGGACUUGUGUGAAGGAUGAAACCUUGUUAUUUUGGACUACUUAUGCCCGUUGAAUGGCAGCGCUGAUGGCAUAUGAAAGGCUUCAAAAUAAAUUCAUCUUUCUUUGUGGUAACAUAACCUCACCCUGUAAUUACAGAAACAUCCAAACUUUUAAAUUGAGCGCAAUUAUUUAGCAGCGGGGAGAAAAAAAAACAAAAAAAAAAAACACUUUUAAGAGUGAAUUGUUUGUAACAAAAUCACCAGUGGCAUAAUUAUUGGAAUUUAUUUAAGUUGAUUAAUAUGAUUUCACAAAUAUUUCCACUUUCUGCCAGGAGAGCAAUUAUUUAAAACGUUUAAAACAACUUGACUAGAGAUAGACUAGCAGAGGAUCCAUAUUGAUCUUGCCAUCAUUUCUGGGAGCAGAGUAUUGAUGUGUAAUGCUGUGGGCUGGUUAUAUCUAAAAACUGGUUAGUGUACUGGCAGAAUAUUCCUGGAUGUGUCAAGCUGGAUCAUUUUGUGACAGUAGAAAGAGGAAUGGUCAGAGAUCUGUCUCUGUUUUUGAUCCAAACUUCUUAAAUUGUGUAGAAGACCUUUUGGUUAAAAAAAAA